rnacentral:rRNA from 1 species
GGAUAACCUGCCCUAAGGAAGGGGAUAACCUCGGGAAACUGAGGAUAAUACCCUAUAGGUUACAGAUGCUGGAAUGCCCUGUAACCGAAAGCUCCGGCGCCUUAGGAUGGAUCUGCGGCCGAUUAGGUUGUUGUUGGGGUAACGGCCCAACAAGCCGAUAAUCGGUACGGGUUGUGGGAGCAAGAGCCCGGAGUUGGAUUCUGAGACACGAAUCCAGGCCCUACGGGGCGCAGCAGGCGCGAAAACUUUACAAUGCGGGAAACCGUGAUAAGGGAACCCCGAGUGCCUGUAUAUGCAGGCUGUCCAGGUGUCUAAAAAACACCCGAAGAAAGGGCCGGGCAAGACCGGUGCCAGCCGCCGCGGUAAUACCGGCGGCUCGAGUGGUGGCCACUUUUAUUGGGCUUAAAGCGUUCGUAGCUGGGUUGUUAAGUCUCUUGGGAAAUCUGACGGCUUAACCGUCAGGCGUCUAAGAGAUACUGGCAAUCUUGGAACCGGGAGAGGUGAGGGGUACUUCGGGGGUAGGAGUGAAAUCCUGUAACCCUCGAGGGACCACCUGUGGCGAAGGCGCCUCACCAGAACGGCUUCGACAGUGAGGGACGAAAGCUGGGGGAGCAAACCGGAUUAGAUACCCGGGUAGUCCCAGCCGUAAACGAUGCGCGUUAGGUGUAUCGGUGACCACGAGUCACCGAGGUGCCGAAGGGAAACUGUGAAACGUGCCGCCUGGGAAGUACGGUCGCAAGGCUGAAACUUAA